GGGUUUUCUGCCCUAAAUCGUCAAAGAUUCGACGAUCCAUGGCGGAAGAGGAGCCUAUCUCAAGCGGAGGGUUUUCUGCCCUAAAUCGUCAAAGAUUCGACGAUCCAUGGUGAGAGAGGAGCUGAUCUCAAGCGAUUUCAAGGUAAAUGCUCCCAUCCUCAAGUUCCCAUCGCUGGAUCCAUGGUGGGGAAGUACUUCUUCGAAGAAAAUCAAAGGUGGGAAAGUUUGUUCAGUGUAAGCAUAUAUUGAGGUUGUAUAUGUUCACUUAUUGGCACUCCCUUGAGCUUGUACCAAGGGGCUUCCUUAACUCUUCCCUAUAGCCUCGGGUUAGAACCGGAUUGACUCUAAUUUAAUAUUGAGGACAAAAUAUGCACAAGCUCAAUUCUGUGGACUGUGACUUUCACCUGAAAUUCAUCAUACUGCAGAGUUUGGAGUCUCUGAUUCAAUACUGAUUGUGAAAAGAGGACGGAUGAAUCGAGAACCUAACCUCAUACGGAUGCACUUAGUGUGAAAGCUAUUGCAACAUCUCAUCAGAUCCCAAGUCGAUAGGCAAAUGCGAACUCCAGCUUCCCCCAGUGGUGCAUCAUUGAGUAAAGAAAGACCAGCAGAUAAGCAAAUACUUUCAGGUUUGAGCUUAUUAUUCUGAUGGUAAGAGUAGGAGAUGGUGUAGUUCAAGCAAGAGCACUGCUGGUGUUAAUUACACUGGGAUUGACAAUCCUUUAAGAAAGAUAGCAAAUAUAACCAGCAUAUCAAAACGAAUGGACUCUACAAUCAAUGAGCAUCAGCUUAGAAUCUCAGUGAGGCAGCAGAGUUAAUUUAAGUCGAGUAUGGAAGUCCGAAUAAUAAGGACUCUUGCAAGAUUAUUGGCUUGGUAUUUGAUGCCAAGAUCCUAUAGAAAGGAGGCCCAAAGUCAAAUUUGAAGGAGAGUGCAGACAUCUGGCUGAAGCAAAACAGGGUAUGUUCAUAUGAGAUAUCUAUCAAUCGGAGAUUUGUUGAACCAUUCCAAUGGAGAUUCAUGCCACACAAAAAUGCAAACGUAAGCGUUUUUGUUUUGGAAAUGACCACAUAAUCUGCUGCCUGCGCACUGAAAUAUACAGUACAUUCUAUAAGUAAAGGGUUGCCCCCCCCCUCCACAAAAAAAGGACCUGACGGUGACACCUUCUAGAUGCAACACGCGAGAGAGAUAAUCAUUAAUGUUGUAAAAGGGCCUAGGAAUC